UUGCUCUUCUCACUUGAAGCUUAUGUGCACAAAUGCUUCAGAAGAGUUUAUAUGCAUAUGUGACAAGAGGCCCCUAUUUAUAUGUGCAGUUGGUUGAAGCAAAGCAGAAAAAUGUUAUCACACAGGUUGUAAAUCUGUUUUCUGAUGUCUGAAUGGCACUUGCUGCAAGGGAAACAACUAUCCACUUACACGUUCAAGAGAAGUUAAUCGUGAGGCAUAUGCUUUUCUCACAUCAAACAGCACCUGCUGCAAUGGAUGCAGCUAUAUUGAUUCAUGUUUCAGCAGUCAAAGUUGAAUUAUCGCCGUUAAAAGAUGAGACUAUAUCUGCUGCCACGGUUACAGCAUCCAUGCCAUUAGCUUUACCUUCACUCUGUUCAAUUGACUUUGCAGGAGGACCUUGUAUAGCCAUUCUUGAAAUCUUGGAAAGGUCUCUCAAGAGUCCCUUGUUAGCCCACUUGAGCCCACAUGCAUUACAAAGGGUUCUCGGACCAGCUGGCCCACGACGCAUCAGUGGAGUGGACUUUGAACUGGUUCCACAAUGAUUACAUGAAGUUUCUAGCAUGUCAUCUUGUCCAGAACCCUGUGUGGCACUACAGCCAGAAGAAGCUGAGCCUGCUUCAUCAGAACUAGCCUUGGAUGAAGCAAAUUGUCCCUUCUUCCGCUGCAUCCUAAGUGCAAC
rnacentral:misc_RNA from 1 species